rnacentral:siRNA from 1 species
UAUACAUUGAAAUGGACCGAUA